GGGAAACAAAGCUCAUACAGCUUUAUGCAGCUUCAGGUAGGAUAAUCAAUGGAUAAUUACUUAUGUCAAUUUCUGAUGGAGUAAGUUGCAUAGCUCUUGUUUUCUUUAUGUUCAAGCUAUUUGGAUCUGUGUUAACACUGGUAUUUUGUUAACAGCUGUUUUCUAGAGCGAGACGUGUUAAUGCACUUAUGUCUGAUAUAUGUUCUUCUGAGGUAGCCUUUUCAACUUUUUCUUAGUGUAAUAAUAUUCAUUAUUCUACUAGGACAGUAAAAUUACCAAAUAUAGAGUAUAUGAGGGGUUUUGUUGUUAUGCUUGCUGUUUAAUAAUUGAAUAGUCAGAAAUCAGCCAGGCAUGGUGGUGUGCAUGCCUUUAGUCCCAGCUAUUCAGGAGGCUGAGGCAGAAAAAUCGCUUGAACCCAGGAGGUGAAGAUUGCAGUGAGAGCCGAGAUUGCACCACUGCACUCCAGCCUGGGCAACUGGGCGACAGAGUGAGACUCUGUCUCAA
rnacentral:lncRNA from 10 species